rnacentral:tRNA from 1 species
UUUUAAUAUGGCAGAAAAAGUGCUCUAGAUUUAAAUUCUAUUUAUAAAGAUUUAUUAUUCUUUUAUUAAAAA